rnacentral:rRNA from 1 species
GAUGAACGCUAGCGGCAGGCUUAAUACAUGCAAGUCGAGGGGCAGCAUGACUGUAGCAAUACAGUUGAUGGCGACCGGCAAACGGGUGCGGAACACGUACGCAACCUACCCAAAACUGAGGAAUAGCCCGGGGAAACCCGGAUUAAUACCUCGUAACAUAAUUGAAUGGCAUCAUUUAAUUAUUAAAGCUCCGGUGGUUUGGAUGGGCGUGCGCCUGAUUAGGUAGUUGGAGGGUAACGGCCUACCAAGCCAACGAUCAGUAACUGGUGUGAGAGCACGACCAGUCACACGGGCACUGAGACACGGGCCCGACUCCUACGGGAGCAGCAGUAAGGAAUAUUGGUCAAUGGACGCAAGUCUGAACCAGCCAUGCCGCGUGAAGGAUGAAGGUCCUCUGGAUUGUGAACUUUCUUUUAUAUGGGACGAAACCCUCGGAUUCUUCUGAGACUGACGGUACCAUAAGAAUAAGCACCGGCUAACUCCGUGCCAGCCGCCGCCGUAA